rnacentral:lncRNA from 1 species
GUCACUUUUAGGAACUUUUUAAAAUCUAGAUUUUUUCCUGGCACAGGUGAUUCUAACAAACUGGCCAUGACCGGAAACAGUGAUUUGUUUCUUUCCUUUUUCACCUCAGGACUUGGAGCCUCUGCUUUGGACAGUCGUCCAGGCAGCCCUGCUCAGUUGUCACCCACUGGGAGGAGCAUUUGCUCACCAGCUGCUCUCCAGGCUGCUCUUCCCCAGGGGCGACCUGGGGCUGGGAAUGUGAGCGCAGAGGCGCUGAGCUGGUUGCUGCUGUCAUUUUGGGGUAUCCCAACCAUCUUACUCCCACCAUCUAGGUGGGUCCCCUGUCACCUCCAGUCGCAGACUGGAAAGCCCCUGACCUAAAGAACAUCUGUUGGCACCCCUGGCACAAGAGCCACACCUGGUCCUUCCCCACAAGAGGAGGCCAGGCCUGCAGCCCACCAUCAGCCCCAAAGACCUCCACUGUCCACAGAGUCUGGACACAGAUGAGUCUGACCCGAAUGCUUCUCUGUCCUCCGAGCCUUCUAAGUCCUCUGACAUCAGGGACAUUUCAGCAGCCCAAGUCCCUUGGAUGAGCUUUGUUCCCCUCUUCUGGGCAGAAUGUCCAGCACUGGGCCUGGAAAAAAGAGAACGUGCAGAAGAGUCUCUUUGGAUUCUCAUCAAUCCACCCUCAAACUGUUGCAAUGUGGAGGAAAGACGGAUGUCAGAGAGCCAGGAAGACACUGGCUGAAUCCAGACUGUGUCAUUUAUUAUUUAUGGAUUUUCCUUUCCCCAUCUUUCUCGGUUCCCUUGCUAUAAUGAGAACAGUGGCUUGAUCAUUUCUAGCAGGACUGACACCUACUUUCCCUGUCAGGUAAGGAGAAAUGGCAAAUACAUGAUUUAAUUUUCUCCCAAACCACACUGAGGUCCCUUCCAUGUGGCCCGCUAGUCAUGGAGGUGACAGAGGACCCAACCCUAGUCAGUGCUUUGUCCAAAGGAGAAGCAGGCGUGGCAUUCACCCGUCAGAACGUCCUCCGGGUGUGGCUGGGCGCUGUAAGCUGGUCUUUGAGGGCAGCUCCUGACCUCUCACAGCGGCCAGGAGGAGAUCUGAGCUUUCUUUUUGCAGACUCAGGUAGGCCACGGGGUCGGCCUGUUCUGCUAAGGCUGUGCUGCUUCUGAGUUCCAUGCGUGUUCCUUGCCAUCUAGGUAAAACGGGAAAAUAGGAAACAUUCCGGAGGAGAGACAGAAACUGUGCCAGGAACAGGGAGGAUGUGCGGGACAAGUGGUCACGCAGAAUUACCAGGCGGCAGAGUCCAAGAGUGCGCGGAUAGACAGAGCCAGCCAAGGGUCCCCAAGGGGAUCUCAGCAGCAUGCCCUCCAUCCUUCAUCUCAUGGUGGACAGCAGCUCUGGGCAGCCCCACCGGCUUACGAGGGGGAGAGUAGAGGAGGCCACUAAAUCAGGAGGUAACUGUGAACAAGAGCAGAGCGAAAAGAAAAGGACGUGUGUGACAGUUGGUGUCUGUGAGCCAGCCCCCCUGCCAUGGUGAUAAGCUCACUGCCGGCAGUGACUCCCCUCCAAGGGUUCCCAGGUUCCAAACAAAUGUGCAGAGACACAUGUUUCCUUCUUCACUAGGAAUGUGGAGUGCCCAGCAAUUGUGCCCAGUGACCUCGUCAGCUGUGGAUUGUUCUAGCUCAAAACAGACAGCACCAUGCAGCAGAGGACUAGCCCUGGGGCCUGUGGGCACAUGAUGGCUUUUGGACCCUCUCGUGGAAUUUCUCCAAGCUCCGGGGAGGAGUAGUUUUAUAUUCCCUGGGGGCUGGAGCAGAUAGGUUCCUUUGAAGCAGUGGGUUCUUUUGAAAACUUGACAAAGUUUCACCUUUUGCUCGAUGGUAAAUCUGUU